UGCCUUAUAUUACUUAGUAGAAUCAUGUUAAAACAUUAAAGUAAUUUUAAAUUUUUAUGGAGGUAAUCAUGAAAGGUACAGUUAAAUGGUUCAAUCAAGAAAAAGGAUUCGGAUUUAUUACAGGUGAGGACGGGAAAGACGUAUUCGCUCACUUCUCUCAAAUCCAAAAAGAUGGAUUCAAAACAUUAAACGAAGGUGAAGAAGUAACUUUCGAUAUCGCUGAGGGAGCUAAAGGACCUCAAGCUACAAACAUCGUAGUUAAGUAAUUAACUUAAAAAAGAUAUAGAUUGCCAUAGACCUAGGUCUAUGGCUUUUUU
rnacentral:sRNA from 1 species